UUCCGGUUGAUCCUGCCGGAGGCUAUUGCUAUCAGGGUUUGACUAAGCCAUGCGAGUCGAGAGGUGUAAGACCUCGGCAUACUGCUCAGUAACACGUGGAUAAUCUGCCCUCAGGUGAGGAAUAAUCCCGGGAAACUGGGGCUAAUGCCUCAUAGGAGACGGGUGCUGGAAUGCUCUGUCUCCCAAAGGUCCGCCGCCUGAGGAUGAGUCUGCGUCCGAUUAGGUAGUUGUUGGGGUAACGGCCCAACAAGCCUUUGAUCGGUACGGGUUGUGGGAGCAAGAGCCCGGAGAUGGAUUCUGAGACAUGAAUCCAGGCCCUACGGGGCGCAGCAGGCGCGAAAACUUUACAAUGCGAGCAAUCGUGAUAAGGAAACCCUGAGUGCCUGUCAAUGCAGGCUGUUCUGGUGUCUAACACACACCAGAAGAAAGGGCGGGGCAAGACCGGUGCCAGCCGCCGCGGUAAUACCGGCUGCUCGAGUGAUAGCCGCUUUUACUGGGCUUAAAGCGUUCGUAGCUUGGUCGUUAAGUCUCUGGGGAAAUCUUUUGGCUCAAC
rnacentral:rRNA from 1 species